rnacentral:rRNA from 1 species
AGUGACGAUAGCCUAGGAGAUACACCUGUACCCAUGCCGAACACAGUAGUUAAGCCCUAGAACGCCUGAAGUAGUUGGGGGUUGCCCCCUGUUAGAUACGGUAGUCGCU